rnacentral:rRNA from 1 species
CUGCCCAAUGACUCUUAGUUCAAUGGCCGCGGUACCCUGACCGUGCAAAGGUAGCAUAAUCACUUGCCCCUUAAUUAGGGGCUGGCAUGAAAGGACACACGAAAGCUUCCCUGUCUCAUAGUAACAAAUAAAAAUUAAUCUUUAAGUGAAAAAGCUUAAAUAUUAUUGCAGGACAAGAAGACCCCGUUGAGCUUCAUUCUCAAUAGACAAAAUAAAAUAUACUUUAUAACCUAAACCUAAAAAAGAAUUUAGUUGGGGUGACUAAGGAACAUCAAAAACUUCCUUUUACUUUAUAGGAAAAUUUUCCAAAAUAAUUGACCCAUAUAUCAUGAUCAAAAAAAUAAGCUACCACAGGGAUAACAGGCUAAUCUUUCUUAAGAGCCCAAAUUGUCAGAAAGGAUUGGCACCUCGAUGUUGGCUUAGGGGCCCCUAAUGGCGCAGAAGCCAUAAAAGGUAGGUUUGUCC